CCUACUCCAACUCCACCACACACCAACCACAACAGGACAAGAAACAAAGAUUUUCUCAUGUGAGAUUUCAUAUGUUCUGAAAGAGGUGGUGUCUUCCGUGAUGAGUCUCAUCUGUCUUGUUCUUUUUUGUGAUAAGAAAUUGAUGGAGUCGCGUACUUAAUUGUUUAGGUCAUAUGUAAUGCGCGUGUCCUGGAACCCUCCAGUGUUUGUCUUUGACUCUUUGUUUUCCCUUUACAUGUGCCACCAUAUAAGAUUUAAAAGUUUUAGCGUGCCUGCCAAAGUGUGGGGUUUUGUCUCGACAUGCCUUCGACUUUAUUCUUUUGUUGUAGUUCUUGUGCUUAUUGGGGGACUUCUCUUAGAUGUGUUGUUUUUUUCUUAUUUUUCUUUGGCUGUUGUAUUGGUUUUUGCAUGUAGGCGGUCUCCUUGGUGCACUCUCUCAGACGGUUAAUUGUUAAUCUGCAUGCAUUUUCACUCCUUUGUCUGUGUGCUUCAGUGGGUGACAAAUGGGUUUCCAGCCAUUUAAAUGGUUUAUCCUUUCUUAUGAUACCGAGUUCCUCCAUGAUCCAUUGAUUCCUAAAACUCUAUACAUGGCUGGCGAGUUCUUUCGGUUAAAGCUUUUUAGAUCCCAUACUUGGAGACUUUUAUCUUGUUCGGUGAAGGGCAAUAAGGAGGUGAUUUACGGAACAAUACUUGGAUGGUGCAAUAGGGACGUCAAAGAGUGUGCUUCCUCCAUCUUCAUUGGUCCCUUUUGAUCUAUAAAACCCCACUUGACUCGGCUGGUAGCUAUCAUUUUAUAUUUUUCGAGAUGGUUCUAGUGGCGCUUCUUCAAUUUUGGCAUGGAUCCUCUUAUGUGGAAGCAACUUGCUUCUAGUUUUCUCUUAGCCUCUCUUCUUAUGCUUCAGUAAAUGUUUUAAUGUCUAGAAAUAGCGAUCUUGCCAUUUUAUGCAACCUAAAUGCUGGUAACUGUUUAUGCGGCCUAAAUGCUUAUAACUGGAGCUUUACAAGAAGGAUCGAUGUUACUCUUUCUCAUUGAAUCCUAGAUUGGAUCAAGUGGGAUCAAGUGUCAAUGGGUCUUUGGGACUUUAGGCUUUAGUUAAGUCUUUUUCUUGUCCCAUGGAUUUUACGACUUGUAUCUUUGUAUGAUAUUUAUUGC